GUGUUUUUAUUGGUUGAAUUCAACACAAAAGAUUACGCAUCUUGAAAGUAACUCCUCAGUUUGCCAGAGUCUUCGUUGGGACGACGAAUAUGAACUGGUACCCGCGUCAAUUCAGUGUCUGCCUGACAUUACUGAUAUUUGUUGCUUUGACAGCUGGAUAUGACUAUCUUGAUGGAGAUGUUACCCUAGACUCUUCUGGCUUAGUGAAUAUCUAUUAUAAGGGCAAAUGGGGAACCAUAUGCUACAGCAGUUCUUAUGCCCACUUGAUGUCAAAAGCAAUAUGUCGCAGUUUAGGACUC
rnacentral:lncRNA from 1 species